rnacentral:rRNA from 1 species
AUUGAACGCUGGCGGCAGGCCUAACACAUGCAAGUCGAGCGGAUGAAGGGAGCUUGCUCCUGGAUUCAGCGGCGGACGGGUGAGUAAUGCCUAGGAAUCUGCCUGGUAGUGGGGGAUAACGUCCGGAAACGGGCGCUAAUACCGCAUACGUCCUGAGGGAGAAAGUGGGGGAGCUUCGGACCUCACGCUAUCAGAUGAGCCUAGGUCGGAUUAGCUAGUUGGUGGGGUAAAUGCCUACCAAGGCGACGAUCCGUAACUGGUCUGAGAGGAUGAUCAGUCACACUGGAACUGAGACACGGUCCAGACUCCUACGGGAGGCAGCAGUGGGGAAUAUUGGACAAUGGGCGAAAGCCUGAUCCAGCCAUGCCGCGUGUGUGAAGAAGGUCUUCUGAUUGUAAAGCACUUUAAGUUGGGAGGAAGGGCAGUAAGUUAAUACCUUGCUGUUUUGACGUUACCAACAGAAUAAGCACCGGCUAACUUCGUG